UUGUAAAGCUCUUUUGUCAGGGACGAUAAUGACGGUACCUGACGAAUAAGCUCCGGCUAACUUCGUGCCAGCAGCCGCGGUAAUACGAAGGGAGCUAGCGUUGUUCGGAAUUACUGGGCGUAAAGGGCGCGUAGGCGGUCUUAUAAGUUUGGUGUGAAAGCCCUGGGCUUAACCUAGGAAUAGCAUUGGAUACUGUAAGACUUGAGACCGAGAGAGGGAAAUGGAAUUGCGAGUGUAGAGGUGAAAUUCGUAGAUAUUCGCAAGAACACCAGUGGCGAAGGCGAUUUCCUGGCUCGGUACUGACGCUAAGGCGCGAAAGCGUGGGGAGCAAACAGGAUUAGAUACCCUGGUAGUCCACGCUGUAAACGAUGAAUGCUAGAUGUUGGGGAUUAAAAUCUUCAGUGUCGUCGCUAACGCAAUAAGCAUUCCGCCUGGGGAGUACGGUCGCAAG
rnacentral:rRNA from 1 species